rnacentral:rRNA from 1 species
UGGGGAAUCUUGGACAAUGGGGGCAACCCUGAUCCAGCCAUGCCGCGUGAGUGAUGAAGGCCUUAGGGUCGUAAAGCUCUUUCGCCUGUGAAGAUAAUGACGGUAGCAGGUAAAGAAACCCCGGCUAACUCCGUGCCAGCAGCCGCGGUAAUACGGAGGGGGUUAGCGUUGUUCGGAAUUACUGGGCGUAAAGCGCACGUAGGCGGACCAGAAAGUUGGGGGUGAAAUCCCGGGGGCUCAACCCCGGAACUGCCUCCAAAACUAUUGGUCUAGAGUUCGAGAGAGGUGAGUGGAAUUCCAAGUGUAGAGGUGAAAUUCGUAGAUAUUUGGAGGAACACCAGUGGCGAAGGCGGCUCACUGGCUCGAUACUGACGCUGAGGUGCGAAAGUGUGGGGAGCAAAACAGGAUUAGAUACCCUGGUAGUCCACGCCGUAAAACGAUGAGUGCUAGUCGUCGGCAGGCAUGCCUGUCGGUGACGCAGCUAACGCAUUAAGCACUCCGCCUGGGGAGUACGGCCGCAGGUUAAAACUCAAA